AAGACCCUCUUCUUCUUCACGUUUUUCUCUCUAGACACCCAAACUUGCAUCUUUUAUAUCUCCACGACCCAAAGGUAUUUCUCUUUGAUUUUUGGAUGGCAUAAAGGCCUCUCAAAUAUCUAUCUUUUUCUAAAAUUUCACAAAGAAACUCAUCUUAUAUAGAGAGAUAUGAUAGAGUCAUUGUCUAGGUCAAACACCUAGUCAAGGCUUAUCCAAACAUGGCAAGUUAAGGGACGCCCAACUCUUGAGCACCUCCUUCAUAUUUUCAUGCAUGGAUCACCAGAAAAGGGUGCACAAUGUAUACUUUAAAAUCCAUGAAAAUUUUAAAAAAAAUUUGGAUAAAUUUGGUGCAAAAUUGAAAGAGUUUUGGAUUUCUAAAACUCUAUCUCAUAGAAUUCGAAAUCCAAACUUAUUCCUUUUAGAUUUGAUCCAAAUCACCUUCCAUGUAAGAAAGAAGAGAGGAGACCUUUUGUGAACGUGGGAGAGAUAUGGGAGAGGGCUUUUGUCACAUAAAAUAAGUGGAGAUUGGCGUUGAAUAAGAGAGAGGNNN
rnacentral:lncRNA from 1 species